rnacentral:rRNA from 1 species
AUUGAACGCUGGCGGCAGGCCUAACACAUGCAAGUCGAACGAGUGGCGGACGGGUGAGUAAUGUCUGGGAAACUGCCCGAUGGAGGGGGAUAACUACUGGAAACGGUAGCUAAUACCGCAUACCAUCGGAUGUGCCCAGUUGGGAUUAGCUAGUAGGUGGGGGAACGGCUCACCUAGGCGACGAGCCCUAGCUGGUCUGAGAGGAUGACCAGCCACACUGGAACGUGGACACGGUCCAGCCUCCUACGGGAGGCAGCAGUGGGGAAUAUUGCACAAUGGGCGCAAGCCUGAUGCAGCCAUGCCGCGUGGAUGAAGAGGGCCUUCGGGUUGUAAAGUACUUUCAGCGGGGAGGCGUUACCCGCAGAAGAAGCACCGGCUAACUCCGUGCCAGCCGCCGCGGUAAUUC